CCUACGGGAGGCUGCAGUGGGGAAUAUUGGGCAAUGGGCGCAAGCCUGACCCAGCAACGCCGCGUGAAGGAAGAAGGCUUUCGGGUUGUAAACUUCUUUUCUCAGGGACGAAGAAAGUGACGGUACCUGAGGAAUAAGCCACGGCUAACUACGUGCCAGCAGCCGGGGUACUACGUAGGUGGCAAGCGUUAUUCGGAUUUACUGGGUGUAAAGGGCGUGUAGGCGGGACCGCAAGUCAGAUGUGAAAACCACGGGCUCAACCUGGGGCCUGGAGUUGCAAAUGUAGUUUCUGAGUGCUGGAGAGGCAGACGGAAUUCCUAGUGUAGCGGUGAAAUGCGUAGAUAUUAGGAGGAACACCAGUGGCGAAGGCGGUCUGCUGGACAGCAACUGACGCUGAGGCGCGAAAGCGUGGGGAGCAAACAGGAUUAGAUACCCGGGUAGUC
rnacentral:rRNA from 1 species